UACGAAGGGGGCUAGCGUUGCUCGGAAUCACUGGGCGUAAAGCGCACGUAGGCGGGCUCUUAAGUCGGUGGUGAAAUCCUGGAGCUCAACUCCAGAACUGCCUCCGAUACUGGGAGUCUUCGAGUCCGGGAGAGGUGAGUGGAACUGCGAGUGUAGAGGUGAAAUGCGUAGAGAUUCGCAAGAACACCAGUGGCGAAGGCGGCUCACUGGCCCGGUACUGACGCUGAGGCACGAAGGCCAGGGGAGCAAACGGG
rnacentral:rRNA from 1 species